rnacentral:rRNA from 1 species
UACGGAGGGAGCUAGCGUUGUUCGGAAAUACUGGGCGUAAAGCGCACGUAGGCGGCGCAGCAAGUCAGGGGUGAAAUCCCUGGGCUCAACCCAGGAACUGCGUCCGAUACUGGUUGGCUUGAAUCCGGGAGAGGGAUGUGGAAUUCCAGGUGUAGCGGUGAAAUGCGUAGAUAUCUGGAGGAACACCGGUGGCGAAGGCGGCAUCCUGGACCGAGAUCGACGCUGAGGCGCGAAAGCUAGGGGAGCAAACGGG